GAUGGCGCGGAGCCCAUCUUCCCUGGGGAAAGUUAGAUCUAGGGAGGGAGUUCCUCUGGGGUCCAGACUUGAGGAGAGGGCUGGGGAGCUGGCAGGUGUUGCCCUCUCAGAGCCGAGGUUGGGGCAGAGGCAGGGGCACCCCUCCCCGAGGCUCGAAAUACAAGAAGGAAGUGACACCCAUCAGCCAGCCAGACAGUGAGGGCGCCCCAUCCGGCCCCUCCCACCCACGGUUCGCGAGCCACUGCGCAGGGGACCUCUGGGUGCCAGGCUAGGUUGGGAGACCGCCAGGAUGACGAGCGGCGGCGAUGGGCAGUGAGCCACAAGAAAGUUCUCCAAGAGUGAGUCUGUUCCACUCCAGGUUGCCAUGUGCUUGCAGGGUGAGCACAUCCACCAGCCCGGUUAGUGGUGAGGAGGAUGCCUUCCCCCUGGCCGUGGCCACCCAGUGACUGAGCCGGGCCACCACUGCUGCAGGGCCAAUGAGCUGCCUCAGACGCAAAGUAUGGGAAGCAGAGUCAUUCAACAUAUUCCUCUAGACACACGAAUUGUGCUGCUUUUUGUAAAAUAAAAAUAUGAAGUGUGUUGGAAGCAUAGGACCAGAUCCUGGGAAGACUGGGUUCCCAUCCUUGUUAAUGCCGCUAAUUAGCUGUGUAACUGUGGGUCACUUCUGAGUUUCUGAAUCUGAGAAAUGAGAGAAUUGGCAGAGAUCAUUUGUAAGUUCCUCCUCCCAAUUUUAGAAACGAUGUAAAUCUUGAUUGUGUUAGACAAUAACAUCAUUUAGCAUGACUAAACGUUGGUCUACUCCACAGAAUAAGUACUAACAGACGCAAAAAGUUAAGGUGCAAUCAACAAACUUCACUCCUAAAAAAUAAAGUCCUUCUAAAAGAGGCUUUCUCCUA